UCAGAGAUACCGAGACGUUUUGUUUCCUUCCUGGCAUCUUCAUAAAAGGAUCUGUUUUGAAAAGACAGACUGACCUGAGGCUGAUCUACCUCCAGGCUUAAAGGAGAAAAAUAAGAUGAGACAAAGACUCGGCCUCCGUCCAAGCCCGCGUGCCCGUGCCCUGUGUGACGCCGAGCAGAUAGCGGUGACAGAGCUGCAGGGAAAUGUCACCGUUUCAGACCCAUGUGCCACUGAAGAGCUGGAGCAGGCCUGACGUGCCUCGGGGGCUGACACCGAUCCUUCACUCCCUCAGCUCCCGACGUGCCGCAGGAGGGGGUGAGAGACACUU
rnacentral:lncRNA from 1 species